GUGCUCGCUUAGGCAGCACAUAUACUAAAAUUGGAACAACACAGAGAAGAUUAGCAUGGCCCCUGCACAAGAAUGACAGAACCCACUUUAGCUCUCAGUGCUCUU